rnacentral:misc_RNA from 1 species
UUGGCAUGAGUGAUGGUGCAGUGCAUGUGAUUGAACCAUCUGAUGUAGAACUCAAGUGGGGUGGGCCAUCCUCGCAAGAGAAUGGCCCCCUACCUUCUAACUCAUCAAAUCCUUCUCUGAGUGGUCAACAAUCAGAGCUUCCUUCCAGGUGAUGAUGGCACUUACAUGAGUUUUACUGAUUAUCCUCACUUUUUACCCUGAUCAUUUGCUUUUAAGUUAUGGCCUGUUAUUCAUAUUCAUUGUAAAUCUCUUCCAUGUUGGGGUCAUUUUGCUCCGUUGGAUGUUUUGAGGAAAUUGUAUAAUUUUGUUUCACUAAAAUGCUGCAAGAGUAGAGGCUAAUGUUGGAUUGCUGAUGCAAUGCAACAUUAGCCUCUACUCUUGCAGCAUUUUAGUGAAACAAAAUUAUAGGAUAACUUCGAUAGAUAUCGAGCGAAGGAAAAGAUGUAUAUAUACGUAC